rnacentral:tRNA from 1 species
GCCGCUGUGGCUCAGAGGUAGAGCAGCUCACUCGUAAUGAGCAGGCCGUGAGUUCGAUUCUCACCAGCGGCUCCA